GAUGAACGCUGGCGGCGUGCCUAAUACAUGCAAGUCGAGCGAACGGACGAGAAGCUUGCUUCUCUGAUGUUAGCGGCGGACGGGUGAGUAACACGUGGAUAACCUACCUAUAAGACUGGGAUAACUUCGGGAAACCGGAGCUAAUACCGGAUAAUAUUUUGAACCGCAUGGUUCAAAAGUGAAAGACGGUCUUGCUGUCACUUAUAGAUGGAGCCGCGCUGCAUUGGCUAGUUGGUAAGGUAACGGCUUCCAAGGAAACGAUGCAUAGCCGACCUGAGAGGGUGAUCGGCCACACUAGGACUAAGACACGGUCCAGACUCCUACGGGAGGCAGCAGUAGGGAAUCUUCCGCAAUGGGCGAAAGCCUGACGGAGCAACGCCGCGUGAGUGAUGAAGGUCUUCGGAUCGUAAAACUCUGUUAUUAGGGAAGAACAUAUGUGUAAGUAACUGUGCACAUCUUGACGGUACCUAAUCAGAAAGCCACGGCUAACUACGUG
rnacentral:rRNA from 1 species